rnacentral:piRNA from 1 species
UUCAGAGGAGGUGGACUUUGAACCUGA